rnacentral:misc_RNA from 1 species
AAGUCGUAACAAGGUUUCCGUAGGUGAACCUGCGGAAGGAUCAUUCAUGUGAUUUCUAAAAAACACAACCCAACCUCUUGUUUACUUAGCAUUAAUGACUGCUUGCUUUUUUUCAUAUAUGGUUUUAUGUUUUUGUUGGCUGCUAUUUUCUAUUUUCUGAGGGGUUUUUGUUAGCUGCUUUGUCUGAAUUGCAACCGAUAAAAACUCUCUAGUGAAAAAAUGAAAAAUGCUACCUAAUGAUUUACCAAGAGUUUUCAUACAAAAUAACUUGCCAAAAACAAAGAAAAUUUGUAAAAUGUUUAUUACAACUUUUAACGAUGGAUCCCUCGGCUCUCA